ensembl:snRNA U6 U6 spliceosomal RNA
GUGCUUGCUUUGGAAGCACAUGCACUAAAAUGGGAAUGACAAAGAGAAGAUUAGCAUGGACCCUGCAAAUUUGUGAAGUGUUCUAUAUUUUU